AUUUUCCCCACUAACGUAUAUAGAGUUCUAAGUUUAGGACUUGAAUUUUUUGUAAAGCUAGCUCUGUAUGGAAAGUGAAUCACAUGUUAUAACCUCAUAUGUUAUGCUUCUAAAUAGGUUGAUGGAGACGCGUCCCAACUAUGCAAAGGACAUACACAUAUGUAGUCCAUGGGUAACCAGAUGCAUCAAUGAGAAUAACCCGUCAAGUGUGGAUCGAAUGUUUAAGCCAAUAAUGACUACUCGAUUCUAAGAACUUGAUAAGAUUAUUUUCCCACUCCUAACUUUAUUUCAUUGGCAUAUGUUGGUAUUCUCUGUAAAGGAUAGACGAUUUUAUCAUUAUUCUUCUCUACGUGGAUAUAUGUCUGAUGCUAGUGAAUUUAGAGUGAAGCUUAUUUCUACCAUUCCCGAUGCUUGGAAUUUAGACAUUACUACUUGUCAGGAGGUAGAAAGUGUUGACGUACCUCAACAACGGGGUAGCUUGGAAUGUGGGGUGUUCUUGAUGGCAUACAUGUUUAGCCUCGUUUCCAAUCAAACAAUUUCAAUUGACCAAAAGGAUUGUGCAAGACAUAGAGCUCGUAUCGUUGCUCUAUUUCUAUCUGAAGGAAAUCAACAUCAUCCUCAAGACCAAUUCCCCGGAUGCUAGAUGCCAAUUGUCAUAUCAAGCAUUUUUUUUUGUACAUAUAUAUGUUUGGAAAGUGAUUUGUAAAGUGAUUUGUCUGAAACCUAUGAGACUGUUGUUGGGAUUGGUUAUGUAAAGUCAUUCGUAAAGUUAUUUUGUG